UUUCAUUCAUUCAUUCGUUGGUUCGUGUUUGGUGAAAAAUCACUGAAAAAUCGCCAGCAGGAAAAAGUGCUUCAUUUUCUUUCCCCUGGCUCGCAUGUGUGUUGGAAAAACCUGGAAAAUUCGAAUUCGGACCUUUUCGCUGACUUGUCUUUGGUGUUUUCGGUGCGUUUGUGCCUGCGGGAAUCUGCAGUUUUCCUCGAUUUUGAGUGGAACGGAAUAAAUAGUGCCCCAAUUGCCCCCGGAAGUUUGUUGUGUGUGAAAUUUGCCGUUCGAUCUUGCGGAACAGAGCAUUUUCGACGGAGUUCGUUUGGAAUACGAAAGGAAUAAAAAUUGGAUCCCGUUUGGAAGCGAAAUAAGCGCUAUUUGUCGUGCAGCGGUCCGGACGCUUUGGUACCAUUUUUUGGUCCGAUUGUUCGGUGAAUUCUUUAGCAGAGGAUUAAGUACAAAGCUGGCGAGAGGAAAGGAAAUAAUUGAUACACAAAAGUGCAGAUUUAGUACCAGUUUGUAGGGGAGCCUUUGUGGCUGGUUUUUGGUUUUCUUUUUCGUUUUUGUAAACGUAACUGCUUUUUCUUCGUGGUGGGAAACUUGUCAGUGGGAAGAAAACCAGUGGAAGUAAAGGAAGAAAACGUAGAAGAAAAUCGAAGACGAAUUUCCUGUGGCUGGCGAGAACGAGACGAAGCAUAAGCUGUCAUCUUGUAAUUUACGGAAAACUUUAGUGCAAGGUUUCUGAAACCAAAUCAGAACAGUUAACAGAUAUUUUUUUGUGUUCGGACUACUGGAAGGACUGUUUUCUUUUUCUGAGUUACGGAACACAAGCCGAGAACGAAAUUACCAAUGUCAACCGUGUCAGAGCAGCGAAUGAAAGGACAAGGAAAUCACGGUAAUGUAGAACCAAAUAACUACUUAUAGCACCAAUGAUAUCGAAAUACCUAUUUCAUAACGAAUGUUAAAAAUUGAA